rnacentral:lncRNA from 1 species
AGGGGGUUUAGCGAUCCCAAGAAGCGAUUCAGGCCUGGGGGCAGGAGGAGGCGGCGCUGUCUCGUGGACCUAGGUAAAAAGUCCCUGAUCUCUAGGUACCCAGCCUCGCUCCGUGAGGUGCGCGCUGUCUGCUCCAGAAUGGCGCUAGCUUUUCUCUGAGAAGCCGGGGAGUUGCGCCGCUCAGCCGUGUUCCCGCAGGGGGCCGAGGUGUAGCCGCGGUGCAGCCGACGUGUGCACGUGGGCGUGUGUGUGUGCACGCGCGGAGCGGCCAGCGAGCGUGCGUUUCCGUUACGGGAGCGCAGGUCGCCUGUGCCCGCGGCUGCAUCCGAGCGCCGGGCGCCCCCUCCCGUCGCAGUCCCCUCCCCCGGUGGCUCCCGCUUUCCCCUCCCCCGGCAGCGUCAGCCGUCUCCGGGUGCGCAGGGCAGCGCUCGGCCUCGAGCUCCUCCUGCGGCCGCCUUCAGCUCCAGUGCUGAUCCCGCGGCGCGCGCCGCGCCCCCUCCCAGCCGCCGAGCGACGAUGAACCGCUGCGCGGGGGUCGCGGAGAGCAGUGAUGAUCACAGUGCUUCUUCAGAAGAAAAAGGUAUGGUAACUUAAAUAAAUGAUGAGUUAUUGGAAAAUUUAAACCAUACUAUGUGAAACAUUUGCAUUUUUAGAAGAGGAUUUCUUUUAAUUGAGUUCUACUUAUUGGAUUCACUUGCUUUGCUAUAUUCAUGCAUUGACAGAAUUAUAAAAGU